rnacentral:rRNA from 1 species
CCUACGGGAGACAGCAGUGGGGAAUAUUGCACAAUGGGGGAAACCCUGAUGCAGCGACGCCGCGUGAGUGAAGAAGUAUUUCGGUAUGUAAAGCUCUAUCAGCAGGGAAGAAAAUGACGGUACCUGACUAAGAAGCCCCGGCUAACUCCGUGCCAGCAGCCGCGGUAAUACGUAGGGGGCAAGCGUUAUCCGGAUUUACUGGGUGUAACGGGAGCGUAGGUGGCAUGGUAAGCCAGAAGUGAAAACCCAGGGCUCAACUCUGUGGAUUGCUUUUGGAACUAUCAAGCUAGAGUGCGGGAGGGGUAAGCGGAAUUCCUAGUGUAGCGGUGAAAUGCGUAGAUAUUAGGAGGAACACCGGUGGCGAAGGCGGCUUACUGGACAGAAACUGACACUGAGGCUCGAAAGCGUGGGGAGCAAACAGGAUUAGAUACCCCAGUAGUC